AGAGUUUGAUCCUGGCUCAGAUUGAACGCUGGCGGCAUGCCUAACACAUGCAAGUCGAACGAGGUAGCAAUACCUAGUGGCGGACGGGUGAGGAAUACGUAGGGAUCUGCCCUUAAGUGGGGGAUAGCCCGGGGAAACUCGGAGUAAUACCGCAUGAUCUCGCAAGAGCAAAGCAGGGGACCGCAAGGCCUUGCGCUUUUGGAGGAACCUACGUCGGAUUAGCUAGUUGGUAGGGUAAAGGCCUACCAAGGCGACGAUCCGUAACUGGUCUGAGAGGAUGAUCAGUCACACCGGAACUGAGACACGGUCCGGACUCCUACGGGAGGCAGCAGUGGGGAAUAUUGGACAAUGGGCGAAAGCCUGAUCCAGCAAUGCCGCGUGUGUGAAGAAGGCCUUCGGGUUGUAAAGCACUUAGGCUGGAAAGAAAAAGCUUCACCUAAUACGUGAAGCCUUGACGGUACCAGCAGAAUAAGCACCGGCUAACUCUGUGCCAGCAGCCGCGGUAAUACAGAGGGUGCAAGCGUUAAUCGGAUUUACUGGGCGUAAAGCGUGUGUAGGUGGUUGUAUAAGUCGGAUGUGAAAGCCCCGGGCUCAACCUGGGAAUUGCAUUCGAUACUGUGCGAUUAGAGUACGGUAGAGGGAGGCGGAACUCCCGGGUGUAGCGGUGAAAAUGCGUAGAUAUCCGGAAGAACACCGAUGGCGAAGGCAACCUCCUGGGCCUGUACUGACACUGGGACACGAAAGCGUGGGGAGCAAACAGGAUUAGAUACCCUGGUAGUCCACGCCGUAAACGAUGAGAACUUGACGUCGGCUUGCUUUGCGAGUCGGUGUCGAAGCUAACGCGCUAAGUUCUCCGCCUGGGGAGUACGGCCGCAAGGUUGAAACUCAAAGGAAUUGACGGGGGCCCGCACAAGCGGUGGAGUAUGCGGAUUAAUUCGAUGCAACGCGAAGAACCUUACCAAGGCUUGACAUGCACGGGUAAGUUCCAGAGAUGGUUCCCCCGUAAGGUCCGUGCACAGGUGGUGCAUGGUUGUCGUCAGCUCGUGUCGUGAGAUGUUGGGUUAAGUCCCGCAACGAGCGCAACCCUUGUCUCAUGUUGCCAGCAAUUCGGUUGGGGACUCAUGAGAGACUGCCGGGGUCAACUCGGAGGAAGGUGGGGAUGACGUCAAAUCAUCAUGCCCCUUAUGUCUUGGGCUUCACGCAUGCUACAAUGGCCGGUACAAAGGGCUGCGAAACCGUGAGGUGGAGCGAAUCCCAAAAAGCCGGUCUCAGUUCGGAUUGGGGUCUGCAACUCGACCCCAUGAAGUCGGAGUCGCUAGUAAUCGCAGAUCAGCAACGCUGCGGUGAAUACGUUCCCGGGCCUUGUACACACCGCCCGUCACGUCACGAAAGUCGGUAACACCCGAGGCCAGUGGCUCAACCCCCUUGUAGGGAGGGAGCGGUCGAAGGUGGGAUCGGCGAUUGGGACGAAGUCGUAACAAGGUAACCGU
rnacentral:rRNA from 1 species